GUGAGGAAUAUUGGUCAAUGGACGAGAGUCUGAACCAGCCAAGUAGCGUGAAGGAUGACUGCCCUAUGGGUUGUAAACUUCUUUUAUAAGGGAAUAAAGUGAGGGACGUGUCCCUUUUUGUAUGUACCUUAUGAAUAAGGAUCGGCUAACUCCGUGCCAGCAGCCGCGGUAAUACGGAGGAUCCGAGCGUUAUCCGGAUUUAUUGGGUUUAAAGGGAGCGUAGGUUGACGUAUAAGUCAGGUGUGAAAGUUUACGGCUCAACCGUGAAAUUGCAGUUGAUACUGUAUGUCUUGAGUGUACAAGAGGUGGGCGAAAUUCGUGGUGUAGCGGUGAAAUGCUUAGAUAUCACGAAGAACUCCAAUUGCGAAGGCAGCUCACUGGGGUACAACUGACACUGAGGCUCGAAAGUGUGGGGAUCAAACAGGAUUAGAAACCCGAGUAGUCC
rnacentral:rRNA from 1 species